rnacentral:rRNA from 1 species
UCGAGAGUUUGAUCCUGGCUCAGAUUGAACGCUGGCGGAAUGCUUUACACAUGCAAGUCGAACGGUAGAGGGGGCAACCCCUUGAGAGUGGCGAACGGGUGAGUAAUAUAUCGGAACGUGCCCAGUCGUGGGGGAUAACGUAGUGAAAAUUACGCUAAUACCGCAUACGAUCUAAGGAUGAAAGCGGGGGAUCGCAAGACCUCGUGCGACUGGAGCGGCCGAUAUCAGAUUAGGUAGUUGGUGGGGUAAAGGCCCACCAAGGCGACGAUCUGUAGCUGGUCUGAGAGGACGACCAGCCACACUGGGACUGAGACACGGGCCCAGACUCCUACGGGAGCAGCAGUGGGGAAUAUUGGGGCAAUGGAGGAAACUCUGACCCAGCGACGCCCGCGUGCGGGAUGAAGGCCUUCGGGUUGUAAACCGCUUUCGAGUAGGGAAGAAGCGAAAGUGACGGUACCUGCAG